GAAACAACUUUUUCUCUCCAAACGUUUAGGGUUUUCGAGGGUGUCUGAGAGUACGGAAAAAGCGAGAGGGUUAGCCAAGAAAGACGUGUGAGGUGGUUCGCUGGAUUUUCUUCGAUGAGUGGCCGGAGGGAGAAGCGACCGAUGCUAUCGGUGGUCAAUAUCGUUGCGCGUCGGUCGGAAUAGGCGAGUGGUGUCGUCGCAUCGUCAGAAUCGAGGUUGUGACGUCAUCGUUGGCGGCGCAGCGACGAUUAGGGUUUUCGUGAGAUUUCGGGUAAGGAAGACGAAGGAAAACGGGUCGGGUUCACGUUUGGCCUCUGGACCAGCCCAUGGAACGAACGCGGGCCCUGUGCGUUUCGGCCCAAUGUGGACGCGCGCUGCAGCCUUGGUCUCGGCUCCGCACGCGUGCUCUCGGCUCGGCUUGAUGUGUACAGCGGCUCGGCUCCGUCAAAUCCCGCAGCUUAGCUUGGCGGCUUAAUUGGUCGGCUCGGCAGCUCGGCUUGGUGAAUCGGUAUCACUAUAAUAUAUCGAUUCCAAGGUUUUUAGCCCUUCCGAAGCCGUUUCUGCCCUUAGUUUUACCAUCCGAGGACAUAUUUAACCACUGGGAUUAGCUCGUUGUGAGUGACUUCAACCAAGAUCAUCGAGGCCCUUUUCUGUUCUGUGGUGUCCGGCUACGUGUAACACGUUGUGCCCGACCAAGUCAGGCCUAGGGGGUAUGUUUAUGAGCCCGCCUGGUGGGAUUCAUGUACACGUACAUGGGCCAUGUGUGAAGGAGUACCACAUCCAACCCUACUCGGAAUAGAAAA